AGAGCGAACGCUGGCGGCAGGCCUAACACAUGCAAGUCGAGCGCCCCGCAAGGGGAGCGGCAGACGGGAGAGUAACACGUGGGAACGUACCCUUUGGUUCGGAACAACACAGGGAAACUUGUGCUAAUACCGGAUAAGCCCUUACGGGGAAAGAUUUAUCGCCAAAGGAUCGGCCCGCGUCUGAUUAGCUUGUUGGUGAGGUAACGGCUCACCAAGGCUACGAUCAGUAGCUGGUCUGAGAGGAUGAUCAGCCUCACUGGGACUGAGACACGGCCCAGACUCCUACGGGAGGCAGCAGUGGGGAAUAUUGGACAAUGGGCGCAAGCCUGAUCCAGCCAUGCCGCGUGGAUGAUGAAGGCCCUAGGGUUGUAAAGUCCUUUCGACGGGGAAGAUAAUGACGGUACCCGUAGAAGAAGCCCCGGCUAACUUCGUGCCCGCACGCCGC
rnacentral:rRNA from 1 species